GGGGUUGUGGCUCAGUGGUAGAGCUUUCACUGAGAGGUCCUGAGUUCAAUCCUCAGCACCA
rnacentral:tRNA from 1 species